rnacentral:rRNA from 1 species
CCGACUAAGCCAUGCGAGGCGAGGGUGUCCCUCUGGGAUGCCCGCCGCACUGCUCAGUAACACGUAGUCAAUCUGCCCUGGGGACGGGGAUAACCCCGGGAAACUGGGGAUAAUACCCGAUAGGAGAGGGGUACUGGAAGGUCCUCUCUCCCAAAAGGGCCUCCUCUGGAGGUUCCGCCCCAGGAUGAGACUGCGGCGGAUUAGGUUGUUGUUGGGGUAAAUGCCCAACAAGCCAAUAAUCCGUACGGGUUGUGAGAGCAAUAGCCCGGAGAUGGACUCUGAGACAUGAGUCCAGGCCCUACGGGGUGCAGCAGGCGCGAAACCUUCGCAAUGCGCGAAAGCGUGACGAGGGGACUCCGAGUGGCUUCGCACUGCGAAGCCUUUUGCCGAGUGUGAAAAGGCUCGANCGAAUAAGGGGUGGGCAAGACGGUUNCCAGCCGCCGCGGUAAUANCCGCGCCCCAAGUGGUGNCCACUUUUAUUGGGCCUAAAGCGUCCGUAGCCGGCCCGGUAAGUCCACAGUUAAAGCCCGCUGCAAACAGCGGAGGUGCUGUGGAUACUGCCGGGCUAGGGACCGGGAGAGGCCGGGGGUACGGCCAGGGUAGGGGUUAAAUCCGUUAGUCCUGGCAGGACCACCUGUGGCGAAGGCGCCCGGCUGGAACGGCUCCGACGGUGAGGGACGAAAGCUAGGGGAGCGAUCGGGAUUAGAUACCCCGGUAGUCCUAGCCGUAAACGAUGCCCACUUGGUGUCGGCUGUCCCACGUGGGCAGUCGGUGCCGAAGCGAAGGCGAUAAGUGGGCCGCCUGGGGAGUACGGCCGCAAGGCUGAAACUUAAGGGAAUUGGCGGGGGAGCACUACAAGGGGUGGAGGCUGCUGUUCAAUUGGAUUCAACGCCGUGAACCUCACCCGGGAAGACAGCAGAAUGAGGGUCACCCUGAAGGGGUUACCAGACAAGCUGAGAGGUGAUGCGUGGCCGUCGUCAGCUCGUGCCGUGAGGUGUCCUCUUAAGUGAGGCAACGAGCGAGACCCACGCCCUUAGUUGCUACCGGUGCCUCCGGGCAUCGGGCACUCUAAGGGGACCGCUGCCGCUAAGGCAGAGGAAGGAGUGGGCAACGGCAGGUCAGUAUGUCCCGAAUUCCCGGGGCUACAAGCGGCCUACAAAGCAUGGGCCAACGGGAUGCGACCCCGAGAGGGGAAGCCAAUCCCUCAAACCCAUGCCCAGUUCGGAUCGAGGGCUGCAACCCGCCCUCGUGAAGCCGGAAUCCCUAGUAAGCGGGGGNCAUCAUCUCUCGCUGAAUACGUCCCUGCUCCUUGNACACACCGCCCGUCAAGCCAUCCGAGUGGGGUUCUGGUGAGGCCUGGUGC